rnacentral:rRNA from 1 species
ACUCCUACGGGAGGCAGCAGUGGGGAAUAUUGCACAAUGGGCGCAAGCCUGAUGCAGCAACGCCGCGUGCGGGAAGAAGGCCCUAGGGUUGUAAACCGCUUUCAGCAGGGAAGAAAAUGACGGUACCUGCAGAAGAAGGUGCGGCCAACUACGUGCCAGCAGCCGCGGU